rnacentral:rRNA from 1 species
GGCAGCAGUGGGGAAUAUUGCACAAUGGGCGCAAGCCUGAUGCAGCCAUGCCGCGUGUGUGAAGAAGGCCUUCGGGUUGUAAAGCACUUUCAGUAAGGAGGAAAGGUUAAGUGUUAAUAGCACUUAGCUGUGACGUUACUUAUAGAAGAAGCACCGGCUAACUCCGUGCCAGCAGCCGCGGUAAUACGGAGGGUGCGAGCGUUAAUCGGAAUUACUGGGCGUAAAGCGUACGCAGGCGGUUUGUUAAGCGAGAUGUGAAAGCCCCGGGCUCAACCUGGGAACUGCAUUUCGAACUGGCAAACUAGAGUGUGAUAGAGGGUGGUAGAAUUUCAGGUGUAGCGGUGAAAUGCGUAGAGAUCUGAAGGAAUACCGAUGGCGAAGGCAGCCACCUGGGUCAACACUGACGCUCAUGUACGAAAGCGUGGGGAGCAAACAGGAUUAGAUACCCUGGUAGUCCACGCCGUAAACGAUGUCUACUAGAAGCUCGGUUCCUCGGGACUGUUUUUCAAAGCUAACGCAUUAAGUAGACCGCCUGGGGAGUACGGCCGCAAGGUUAAAACUCAAAGGAAUUGACGG